CCGCGCGCAGCCCCGGUUCCCGCCCGCGCCUCUCCCUCCGCCCCUCCCGGCAAACUGAGGGAGCCGGCUCCGGCCUUGGCCAGCUGAGAAAGGGGCUCCCACAGUGCAGCGGCGGGCUGAAGGGCUCCUCAAGCGCGGCCAGAGUGGGCGCCAAAGCCAAGGAGGCGCCGAGAGCGAGCAAGAGCUGCAGAGGGCUGCCAGCACGCUGUCACCUCUCAGAGUGAGAUACUGGUCACUAUACAAGUUUCAGCACUCACAGGGGCCUGUGUGAUUGAGGUACCCUGAAGUUUAAACGUUCUGAGCAAGCUUCAUGGUGAAUCUACCUCUGGGCCUUCUCCUGCUGCAGCACACUGGCUCUGGAUGGAAUCCCAGACCAGCAGAACGCAAUUUCAGAAAACUUGGCAUUGGAAGGUAGGUUGGAGGUGGGCAGGGAGCACAGCAAGAGGGAAUUAAGACUGCAGCCAAAACCCAAAGCCUGGAGUACCCCACAAGCCUGGAGUGGCCCCAAACUAGAAAAAAACAGCUCCAGCCACUCUGCUGAGCUUUGAUUUUCAGCAUCAGCACUGACAUUCUGGACAGGGUAACUGGCAGGAAUUUAGGACUGGGGUGGUGGAAGCCAGGCAGCAAGGAGAGGUAUGCCUCAUAGGUCAACAUGAUCACCCUCCCAUGUUCCUCAGGAACAUUAAGUCCUAGUGAGAGAUGACAGUGUGCUGGCAGCCCUCCAGCCCUCGCUCGCUCUUGGCGCGGCCUCGGUGCCC
rnacentral:lncRNA from 10 species